ACAUAUAGCCAAGUUGGAAAGACAACAGACUGCAACUCUGUGAGGCGUAGGUUCGAAUCCUACUAUGUG
rnacentral:tRNA from 1 species